CAUCCCUAGUUCGGAUUGUAGGCUGCAACUCGCCUACAUGAAGCUGGAAUUGCUAGUAAUCACAGGUCAGCAUACUGUGGUGAAUACGUUCCCGGGCCUUGUACACACCGCCCGUCACACCAUGAGAGUUGAGAAUACCCGAAGUCCAUGUCAAAGUGGCCGAAGGUAGGCUUGAUGAUUGGGGUGAAGUCGUAACAAGGUAGC
rnacentral:rRNA from 1 species